GGCUGCAAGGUGUGUUUCUGUGUAUGUAAGGGAUGAAGUGUGUGAGUCUGUAAGGGGUGCAUUGAGUGUGUGUAAGGAAUGCAUUGUGUGUUUCUGUGUGUGCAAGGGAUGCAUUGUGUGUAAGGGUUGCAUUGCGUGUGUGUGUGUAAUGCAUUGUGUGUGUAAUGCAUUGUGUGUUUUUCUGUGUGCAAGGGGUUCAUUGUCUUUGUGUGUAAGGGGUGCAUUGUGUGUGAUUGUGUGUGUAUGUGUGUGAUGGAUGUCAAUCUCUCCCCCCUCCCUUGUCACUCUCUUCUCCCCCCCUCCCUUGUUACUCUCAUUCCCCCUCCCUCCCCUGUCAC